GACGUAGGGCGCGAGCGUUGUCCGGAUUUAUUGGGCGUAAAGAGCUCGUAGGCGGCUCAGUAAGUCAGAUGUGAAAACUCAGGGCUCAACCCGGAGACGCCAUCUGAUACUGCUGUGGCUUGAGUCUGGUAGGGGAUCACGGAAUUCCUGGUGUAGCGGUGAAAUGACGCAGAUAUCAGGAGGAACACCGAUGGCGAAGGCAGGUCUCUGGGCCACUACUGACGCUGAGAAGCGAAAGCAUGGGGAGCGAACAGG
rnacentral:rRNA from 1 species